UACAGAGGGUGCGAGCGUUGUCCGGAAUCACUGGGCGUAAAGGGCGCGUAGGCGGCUUGAUAAGCGUGCGGUGAAAGCCCCGGGGCUCAACCCCGGGUCGGCCGUGCGAACUGUCGAGCUGGAGCACUGUAGAGGCAGGUGGAAUUCCGGGUGUAGCGGUGGAAUGCGUAGAGAUCCGGAAGAACACCGGUGGCGAAGGCGGCCUGCUGGGCAGUGGCUGACGCUGAGGCGCGACAGCGUGGGGAGCAAACAGG
rnacentral:rRNA from 1 species